UACGUAGGGGGCAAGCGUUGUCCGGAAUCAUUGGGCGUAAGGAGCGUGUAGGCGGCCCGAUAAGUCCGCUGUGAAAGUCCAGGGCUCAACCCUGGGAUGCCGGUGGAUACUGUCGGGCUCGAGUCCGGAAGAGGAGUGUGGAAUUCCUGGUGUAGCGGUGAAAUGCGCAGAUAUCAGGAGGAACACCAAUGGCGAAGGCAGCACUCUGGGACGUGACUGACGCUGAGACGCGAAAGCGUGGGGAGCAAACAGG
rnacentral:rRNA from 1 species